AUCAUGGCUCAGGAUGAACGCUAGCUACAGGCUUAACACAUGCAAGUCGCGGGGCAGCAUAUAGAUAGCUUGCUAUUAUGAUGGCGACCGGCGCACGGGUGAGUAACGCGUAUCCAACCUUCCCCAUAGUAGGGUAUAGCCCGGCGAAAGUCGGAUUAAUCCCCUAUGUUGUUUGAAGCGGACAUCUAAUUCAAACCAAAGAUUCAUCGCUAUGGGAUGGGGAUGCGUCUGAUUAGGUUGCAGGCGGGGUAACGGCCCACCUGGCCGACGAUCAGUAGGGGUUCUGAGAGGAAGGUCCCCCACACUGGUACUGAGACACGGACCAGACUCCUACGGGAGGCAGCAGUGAGGAAUAUUGGUCAAUGGGCGCGAGCCUGAACCAGCCAAGUAGCGUGCCAGGAUGACGGCCCUACGGGUUGUAAACUGCUUUUAUGCGGGGAUAAAGUGCGGCACGUGUGCCGUUUUGCAGGUACCGCAUGAAUAAGGACCGGCUAAUUCCGUGCCAGCCGCGGC
rnacentral:rRNA from 1 species